AGGUGACAAAACCAGUUUUAAAUUCCCUGUCUCCUGCUUCUAGCCCAUGGCUGUACCCUCUGAGCUUGAUCACCUGCCCUUCAUCAAAGGCUGUGGUCUCAGGUAACAGAUGAGGACAUUAACCUCAAGGGGUUGCAUAAUCUGCUCAAGGUCAGACGUGGGCUUCAUGCAGAGUGAUUACCAGGGACAGGAGAAGCCAGCAGGGAUCAGGCUGCUGGCCGGGCCUUCAGAGCUGUGGGAGCUGUUUUCUUUUUAGACAAAUUACUUCACUUAUCUGGGAUGAUCACCCCUACUAAUCCUGUCUGCUAAUUGUACAAAAGUCUCCCCUCUGUGCAGGUGGAUUAGGACUACUGCAAUGGCACGGGACCCAGCAGCCCGGCUCCCACACCCUGGCUUGGACUUCUUGGCUGCACCUGUUUCAUUCUUGUGGAGCCUGGUUUCACUGGUCACACUUCAAAGCCUAAUCUCCCAUAUAAAGGCUAAAUUUAGCUUUAAUCAAAUAAUUGCCCCACAGUAAAUCAUCAAAUGAUCAUUACCAACUCCAAUUAUUGGUGACUAAGAAAAGAUGCUCUAGGAAGAGAGGGAUCAGUUGUAUAACUGGACGCUCAUUGAGGUUAAAAAAACAUACUCCUGUGCACAUGUGAUUCCUUUCUUAUUUCAGAAAGCUUAGCAUUUAUAGCAGAUGUCCUCUGAGAAGGCGUGGAAACCCCAUUGGCUGUGGAGAGAAAGGGGGUGACCCCAGAAAAGCAUUGGGUGCUGAGUGGGGUGGGGUCAAAGAGAAGAGGGAGAAGGUAAAGUGUGGAAAGGAUUUGGUCCUGCAGGAAUAAACCAUUUUAGAUGACUUGGGGAACAAGUUUCUAGAGAUUGGAAAAUAUGCUGUAGAACCAAGCAUUGAAGAGAAUGGGUUAGUGAUUGCCAAACACCCACUUGCCACCCUUAGCCUCUUUGUCAGUAAGGUAGAAAUUAGCCCAGUUAAGCCUGGGUUCUGUAGAGGCAGCCGCUUUCUUAAUUUCCCCACUUCAAACAUCAGGAUAUCAACUGUUAGUCAUCAUGCAGUGGCUGCCAGUCUAAGAAGAUGACAGCAGGAUUUGUCCAGCAUGGCUAAGUGCCCCCUCUGUGUAAUGAGCAUCUGUACAGGCAAUGGAACUGGAGUCAGCCCACACCCCAGCACAUCUCCCAUCUCUGUGUUCAGUGAUACCACUUUGGUUGCUUAAAUUGGCCAUGAUGGGAGUAUUUACACCGUGAAAGUUGACAAACCAUUUGAGGCUUUUCCUUAUCCUGCAGAGCUGGUUUAAAAAUCUACCAGUGAAACACCUCUAAGAAUGGCUAAAAUAAAAAAUACCGACAACACCAAAUGCUGUUGAGGAUGUAGAGUGACAGACACUCUCAUUUUUUGCUGGUGGGAAUGCAAAAUGGUGCAGCCACUUUGGAAGACAGUGUGGUGGGUUCUUACAAAGUUAGACACAGUCUUACCAUGGGAUCCAGAAAUCGAGCUCAUGGUUAUUUAUCCAGAGGAGUUGAAGACUUUUUGUCCACACGAAAACCUGCCUACAAUGUUAAUAGCAACUUUAUUCCUAACAGCCAAAACUUGGUAGCAGCUGGUAUCUUUUAGUAAGUGAAUGGAUAAACAAACUGUGGAAUACCAUAAGCUUCUGUUAAAAAAAUUAUAGUUGAUUUACAAUUUUGUGCCAAUUUCUUCUGUACAGAAAAGUGACUAAGAAAGGAUGCUCCAUAUAUAUACAUUAUUUUUCUCAUAUUAUAAUCAUGGUCUAUCCCAAAAGAUUGGACAGAGUUCCCUGUGCUAUAUAGUGGGAUCUUAUUGAUUAUCCAUUCUAAAUAUAAUAGUUUGCGUCUACUAACCCCAAACACCCAGUCCAUCCCACUCCCUCCCCCAACCCUCAUUGGCAACCACAAGUCUGUUCUGUAUGUCCAUGAGUCUGUUUCUGUUUGUAGUUAGGUUCAUUUAUAUUUUAGAUUCCACAUAUAAGUGAUAUAAUAUGGUAUUUGUCUUUCUAUAUACUAACAAUGAAAGAUCAGAAAGAGAAAUUAGGGAAACAAUCCCAUUUACCAUUACAUUAAAAAAGAACAAAAUACCUAGGAAUAAACCUACCUAAAGAGACAAAAGACCUGUACUUUGCAAACUGUAAGACACUGAUGAAAGAGAUCAAGGAUGACACAAACAUAUGUAAAGAUAUAUCAUGGUCUUGGAUUGGAAGAAUCAAUAUUGUCAAAAUGACUAUACCACCCAAGGCAAUCACAGAUCCAGUGCAAUCCCUAUCAAAUUACCAGUGGUAUUCAUCACAGAACUAGAAAAAAAUAUUUUAAAAUUUGUAUGGAAACACAAAAGAUCCAAAAUAGCCAAAGCAAUAUGAAAAAGAAACAUGGAACUUGAGGAAUUGGACUUCCUGACUUCAGACUGUACCAGAAAGCUAUGGUUAUCAAAACAGUAUGGUACUGGCGCAAAAACAGAUAUAUAGAUUAGUGGAAUAGAAUAGAAAGCCCAGAAAUAACCCAAGCACCAUAAAAUUCCUUGUAAUAACAUGGUUACUGAAAACAUUUUCAUUGCAGCUAAUUGGCCUUAAGCAAUUUUCCCAUAAAAGGUAAAAUAACUGGCUGACAGUUUUUGUUUGACAGUUUGGUUUUAAUUGGUUGAAAUGCAUCAUCAGCCUUCCUGGUGACUUUAUCAAGCUGACAAAUGAUGAUGAUUUGCCCUAAGAAUUGGUUUCUUAUUUUGAAACAUACCACCAGAGGAGAAAGAGUGUUAGAGGACAGAAUUGAAUCCACCUUUUCCAUAGAACUUCGGAACAUCUAUCAACAGACAUGUGACACUACCCUGUAGAAGCUUUCCCAAAACAACACAAAGCUCAGAUACAAAUAUGCAUCCUUUUAUCUGUAAACUGAUACCUCUCUUACCAAGGAAGAAACUUCAGCAAAAAACCAAUCAGUGUGAUGCCAAAGGAGAAGACGAAUUAACAAGCAAAAAAUGUAUAUAUAUAAUUCUUCAAACAAAAGACUUGGAAGACAAGUGCUUAGUGUUUAGACAAUACAACCUACAAAAUAAAAGCAGUUAUUUUCCAAGUAUUGGCAUGAAUUGACACACAUUUUAAAUGUAUUCGAAUGUUUUAUAUUUCACAAUAAA
rnacentral:lncRNA from 1 species